UCCCUGGUAGGCCUCAAUCAAGGUCAGAGGAUGGAGACUGAGGGGUGGUGACCCCAGCAAGAUGCUUCUGGGCAUUGGACACACUCUUUACCAGACAGCUACAACCUAAGUUUGUACAGAAGAAAAUGUUUUUUACUUGAAUGUGAUUUUAUCAGCUUGAGUGAUGGAAUUACCACUCAGGAGGUCACCUGCCAUCUCACCUGAGCUGAGCAAAAACUCUGGACUCUCCAGAACUGGGAAGCCAUUUAGGUGCCAAUGCUUCCAACAAAACAAAACAAAACAAACAAACAUCUACAAGAUGCAAGCAGAAAGCCAGUCCUCUGCUUCCUUCUUCUCCGCUGAGAGUUUGCUGCACUGGCUAAGUUCCUGAGAGCUUAGGAGUCACUGAGAACUUCUGUCGAGGUCUUCCUGUGAGUGUUUUGGGGCAUGGGCGUGGUGCAGGAAGAAGGCCCAAGAUGAACUUCAGGUAUUUUUCUUUAUUGGUAUUUAUUUUCUUCGUUUAAGACAGUUUCUCACCCAGCUUCUCAGGUUUUCUCCAUCAAAGUUUAUACAAUGAACCUGUGGCCCAGAGUAGCUGUGAAUGCUGCCCAGUCUAAAGCCAGGACUUACUUAAAUGAUGGUGACAUUUGUUUUAAAACUUGUAGAUCUAGAGCCACAUAAAAAGAAAACACAAGUGUCCUCACAACCUGUAGGCUUUGGGUUGGACGCCCCUGGAUUUAAUAUGUGGCCCAAGCCAACUGUUUGUUUGGUGUGGCCUAGAGAAGCCAAACAACAACAACCACCACCAAAACAAUAAUAAAAAAUAAAAACCCUGGAUACCUUUAAUCUAACUGGAGAGGAAAUCUCAACCUGGUUACAUGCAUACCCUAUUCUGGUAGACUGUAGCUACCAGAGCACAGUAGCUUCAGGGGUAUUUUGGAUCCAUCUUCCUGCAGAAUCAUCUUUACUUUCUACAAUGGAUGAAAACAACCCUGUAGACCGUGUGUGCACACAUGUGAACGUUUGUGGGAACCAGAGCACAACCCCACGUGUUUUUCCUUCAAGCAUCAUCCACAGUGUUUUCUGAGACACAGCACAGGCCUUCUCCCUGCACCCCCAGACUUGGAGCUCACUGGGCAGGCAAGCCCGGCUAGCUUGUGAACCUCUCUGGGAUCGUAAGAGUAUGCCUCUAUGCCUGGCCUCUUCACGUGGAUUCUGGGGACAGACCUUAGGUCCUCAAGCUUGCAUGGACAGAGCCUUAAUGAUGGGGUCAUCUCUCUCUCCAAGCCCCUGAAGUGACUUAAUGACACUUUCUGUGGAAGUUCUCUGGCCCCAGGCUCCUCAGUCAUUGUUUGGGGCCUCUGUCUCCCCCACUUCCUUGGGAAGUACAGGUUCUGCAUACUCACAUGGACUCCAUGCUGCUGCACUCUGUAUCCUGCGUGGCCAGCUCCCGAUGCCCUCCCUCCACACAGAGAGAGCACUGUGCCUUUUGCUCUCUCCACACCAUUCUUCCUACAUCAGCUGCCAAAUUGUUAGAGCUAGAGUAAUGGCGGAAGCCUCUGAGUAGAUUACAACCACAACAGCUGUGUUUACUAAGAGCUAAGAAUGAACAUAUCCUAGGGCUAUUAGAGAGAGAGCGCGCGCGCGCGCGCGCGCGCACGUGUGUGUGUGUGUGUGGGGGGGGGGGGGGCGGGUAGGGCUGGGAAGCUUCUGGAAGCACACCCCAUCCUCAGGAUAUUCACUAGCAGCCUGAGCCUCCUGCCUCUCAAGCUGGUUUUGGCUUUUGGGAAAGACCUUCCGGAGCCUGGUCUCUGCUGCCCACCGCGGGCCUUUUCUCCCCCACAGCUCUUUUGUUAUUUUUAUUUUCCAGCUUCAGUGAUCGACACACAACUGGGCUGCUGCUUAUGCUACUUAGAAGAGCAGCUCAGCACUGAGCAGCAAUGGCCAGUGGACCGGCGGGUCACGUGACUCCCGCGGCUGCUCUACUGACUCCCUAAGCACCCAGAACAAAGUCUAAGAGUCUGCUAUUCAUCAUUCCAGUCUUGGGCCUUGUGCUGCCUCCCGCAAGUGUAACUAUCCGUGCAGGAGGCAGGGUACCCAAACCCCUAUCCACACGUUACGGGAGACUGUCUCUUCUAAAGUCUCCAACACUUCAUCCUAUCAUCUCAAAGAUAGACAUUUGUUCCCGGAGUCAACGAGAGUGCUCUGUAGCUUGUGAAGUUCCUACCAGAUGCUAUCUGAGUUAGUGGGCAAGAACUCUUUAUUUUUAUAAUUUUGGUUUUAAAUAUUAUAUUGACUUACUUGUGUUGGUGGAGGCAUGUGGAAGGUGAUAUGACAAAGUCUAGGGGCCAGUUCUCUCGCAGUGUGUGGGGCCAGGGGCCUGAACUCAAGCACAUGCUGGUAUUACAGGUACACACCAUCCCGUCUAGUUAUGUGGUGUUGGGAAUCGAAUGGAGGACUUUGUGUAUCCUAGGUGAAUACCUUCUCAACUGAGCUGUAUCCUCAGUCCUGAGACUCCUAUGAGUAGUAAGAAAGCCUAACACACAUCAAGGAAGAGAAGGCAUUGCUAGCACACGUUUCCACACCGCCAUGUAUUCCUGUCAUGGACUGGCUGUGCAAUGGAAGUCUGUGUAUUAUGUGCAGUUGCUAAUUCUGCGGCCAGUUUAGUUUACACAUUCUGUGCUCUCUGUACAAGGGUGAACCCAUCCAACAAUGCAUUCUCAGAAUGCCUUCCCGUGGUUAACUGAAGCAGGAGGCCAUUUAUUAAGUCAUGCAGCCUCAUUCAACCCCGAACAAUUAUGCUAUUGUUUCCACCCAUUCUGCAAAAGAACUCAGGGACACGGGGAGUUGAAGUAGCUGGCCCCAUUAAGAGAUGGAAUCCCACUGUCUCCAAGUGGGUACACUGGUACAAAAGGCAGGGGACCAAUACCCUGAGCACUCGAAAGGAAUGGCAUGAUGCCUGGUGCUCUCAAAUAGGAAGGGAAAAGUUCCUUUAUCCUAUUUGUUAAGCCUCAACUUGGAGGCUCAUAGUCAAUUCUUGGUAGACCCACACAAUCCUACUGUCAAGGCAUCCCUUAAGUCUCUUAUACUCAUGGAUGCUUUCCGGGCAGCUGGGUUUGUGGACUCUGCACCUGACCUGCCCCACUUCCCUGCCCUCUGCCCCUCCCCCAGGCUCCUAUCUGGCUCUGUCCUAUUUCUGACACCCACAAGGCUGUCUGCUAAGCUACUCCCCCUUUACCCCUAUUUUGAAAGAAUUAGACAAAGCCAAGGAGGACUUUGGAUUAUAGCAUUACGGACUCUGGGGGUGGGAGAGAAAUGCAGACAGUUCACUGUCAUUGUACAGAAGAAAAAGGUGAGACCAGGAGACCAGUAUCAGCCAAGGUUAGACAGCUGAGAGCACAGUCAAGUCUGCUUUUCCUGGCCAGGGCUCCUCCUGCUGCCCCAGACUGUCCACGGUCAGCAUCUUCAGACUGACAGAUGAAAAGGCCAGGGAGAAUGUGUUCUUCUGCCAACAGAUGAGGAGCUCUUUAAAAUGGAAGCAGAGGCUUGCUGAAUUGGAAAAGAUGAUCGGGAAAAUGAGAGGGAAAAGUUACCACAGGCUAUUACUUAAGUUAGAAGAAUCUACCACUGGGCCAUACUUUUCUGUGUGCCAGGUACAGAAUGGAUACACAGGACCUCAGCCUGAUUGAAGAAGUAAUUUCCUUACUCCUUGAGCUCAGCCAGUGAGGCCGAGAUCCGGAUGUCAUGGCCCAGCAGGUACAGA